GCGCUCGGUUGUGCCGUUAUCGUGCAAUGCUUCAUCCCCGGUGCCGUUCAAUCCCAGGUCGUUUUCCCUUUCAGCUGCAAUGCCGGGAUUUUAAAUAGCAGAGAUGAAAGGCCCCUGCCCCCGCCUCCCUCCUCCCCUGAGUUCAUGUAUUAUGAAUGAAACGGCAGCCUCGCUGCUUCCUGAGGUGCUCCACUUCAGGCUGGGGUGCAAUGGCUCGAUCUCGGCUCAGUGCAACCUCUGCUUCCCGGGUUCAAGUGAUUCUCCUGCGUCAGCCUCCCAAGCAGCUGUGAAUACAGGUUGGAGUGCAGUGGUGCUGUGUCUGGAGUUUGUUCCUGCCGUUGGGUUUGUGGUCUUGCUGACUUCAAGAAUGAAGCCACGGACCUUCACGUCCAUCGCCUUGGCUUAGUGCAUGUCACCAAAAAUUCUCCAGGAAUUUCAUAGUUUGGACCUUGGUGGCAUGGCUGGCCCUGGAUUAUCCAUGCAGGGAGGCCUGAUCCUGUGACAGCUGGCUGCAGCAGGGGGCUGCCCAUCUUCUGUGCUUUGUGGUACAUAUCUGUGUCACCAAAGUAGCGGCCUCGGUACAGCAAGCCUUUCAUCUGCUGCUUCUCCGUCCAGCAGUUGUUCCAGAGGUUGGCGAUAUAAUCAUCUUUCACAUUCGGUUUGACUGUUUGGAGGCUGGAGCCUGUGUACUCCUCGGAGAAAAUGCCUGCCACAUAGUAGAUGACACUCAGGUGGUCAGUGACUCGCCUGUGAUGUGGCCCACAAACAGUCUUGGGCUCAGACUGUAGGGUGGACUGGAGACCAUGAGCUGGCUGAGAGCUGACAUGAGGAUGAGGAUGGGUAUCAGCUGCACGAACACCCGCAAGCUGCCGUCACUCCGCUUCUCCCUGCAGCCCUGCCUUUGCUGAUACACACACAGGCACAUUGGAAACGCAGUAGAAAAUGGCUGCCAAUUUAAAACCAGAAGUUAAGAAGAGCAAACUCGAAUGUACAGCAAGAGAGCUUCAGGCUGGACUGGCUUCCAGCAGAAGUGGGACUGGAAACCUCGGAUUCUAUUGUCUCUUCUCUGUGAAGUGGGAAAACAUGUCAGUAUCUGAACUUGAGCUUGGUAAUUACUGCUCAUUUCUCAACCUUUUCCAAGCCACGUAACUCCCCUAAGGCUUAGUUUUCUUAUCUGUGAAUUGCGAGAUGGUAUGUUCUUCAUCACGAGGUUGCUAUAAAGACUGAAUGAGAUAAUGUGUGUGGAAGCACCAAGCAUGGUCCUUGGCAUGCAGUAGAUGCUCAAUAAAUAUGAACUGGAGUACACAUGCA
rnacentral:lncRNA from 1 species